rnacentral:tRNA from 1 species
GGUGGGGUGCUAGAGCGGUUGAAUAGGCCAGUCUUGAAAACUGGUAUAUCCGAAAGGGUAUCGUGAGUUCGAAUCUCACCCCCACCGCCA